ACACGACUAUAUUAGACUACCCUGUAGUCCUAGCCGUAAACGAUACUCGCUAGGUGUCGGCCACGGUGCGACCGUUGUCGGUGCCGUAGGGAAGCCGUGAAGCGAGCCACCUGGGAAGUACGGCCGCAAGGCUGAAACUUAAAGGAAUUGGCGGGGAGCACCACAAGAGGUGGAGGCUGCGGUUCAAUUGGACUCAACGCCGGAAAACUCAUCGGGAGCGACAGCAGUAUGAUUGCCAGGUUGAUGACCUUGCUUGACAAGCUG
rnacentral:rRNA from 1 species